UACGUAGGGGGCAAGCGUUGUCCGGAUUUAUUGGGCGUAAAGCGCGUGUAGGCGGCCAUGUAGGUCUGACGUGAAAUCCCGAGGCUCAACCUCGGCAGGUCGUUGGAAACUAUCUGGCUAGAGUCCGGAAGAGGAGAAUGGAAUUCCUGGUGUAGCGGUGAAAUGCGCAGAUAUCAGGAAGAACACCCCGUGGCGAAGGCGGUUCUCU
rnacentral:rRNA from 1 species